rnacentral:rRNA from 1 species
GACGAACGCUGGCGGCGUGGAUUAGGCAUGCAAGUCGAACGGUAGGAUACCUUCGGGUAUCUGAGAGUGGCGAACGGGUGAGUAACACGUAGGUGAUCUACCCUCAAGAUUGGGACAACCCAGGGAAACUUGGGCUAAUACCGGAUGAAAGCAGCAGUGAUGUUGUUUGAAAGGUGGCGUAAGCUGCCGUUUGGGGAUGAGCCUGCGCUCUAUUAGUUAGUUGGCGGGGUAAAGGCCCACCAAGGCGAUGAUAGAUAGGCGGCCUUAACGGGUGGUCGCCCACACUGGGAUUGAGAUACGGCCCAGACUCCUACGGGAGGCAGCAGUCGAGAAUAGUCUACAAUGGCCGAAAGGCUGAUAGUGCGACGCCGCGUGAACGAAGAAGCCCUUCGGGGUUAAAGUUCUUUUAUAUGUGAGCAGUGCUUUCAUGUGAACAGCAUGGGGAAGAGAUAUUAGCAUAUGAAUAAGCAACGGCUAACUCCGUGCC